AUAUAUACACACACAUAUAUAUAUAUAUAUAUGCGCACACAUACAUAUAUCCACACUUAUGUGUGUAUAAAGACAAGGUACUGCAACAGUUACAAUCUAAACACUGUGUUUUCAUCAUCUUUUUAGAAGAUGCUUUUUAGAAGCAAAGCCCACCUUCUUGGCUCCAAGCAGGCCAGGUAGCACAGUUCCACUGGGGCAGCUCCAAGGAAAACUUGCUAAAUAGUGAGAAAGAGAUUGUAGUGGAACCUUUCUGAGGACAUUGCUGUGGACUCUACAUGGACCUUGUGGCCUCCUUCUCAUUGACAUACAUAUUGUCUCCAUGCAGAACCAGCCGUAUCAUCCAGAAGAUUCUUCCUGUCAUGUCUGCAAUGGCAAACGAAUUUUCAAAUCAACAACAUGCAAGAAAGUCUGUUAGGAAACGACAAAAAGGUCUAUGUCAGAUCCUAAUUGGAAGAAUCAGGCUUCUCUUUUCAUGUUUAUCUAGGAAUAACAGCGCAGUGGUGGAUCAGUCUCCUUUAGACCCAUCCCUGGAAGCAGUUUCCUCCCCAAAGCAUAAACAGCACUUCAAAGGGGCAGCUGACCCAGUCCAUACGUCUGACCAUGCAGAUCUGCUGGGGGAGGCCAAGAAGACUCUGCAGACAGAGGAUGUGUGUUAUCCCCUGGCAACACUACCACCAUCUAGUGGAUUGGAUUCUCCUAGUGUUCAGUUCAGAGAAUUGGAUGCUCACCAGUCAGCAGGCAGGGUGCCAAAGGGAGAAGCUCAGGGCGAACUCAACCAAAGGGAGACUUUGCUGACAGAAGAUUUGGAUGAGAAAUUCAUGCAGCUGGAGAAGGAAAAAAGUCAACAGAUUCUGAUGAGUAUUGAGCAGAGCUUGUUGCAGAAUCCUCCAAUGGUUAGGCUGGAAGAAAAUGUGAUGAAACUUAAGAAAGAGCUCAGUGAAAUGGAAAUGGCAAAUCAAAUCAUGAAAACUCAGCUGAGGAAAGUCAUCCACAUCCAUGUAAGUUGAGAUAAGUGAGGUUUCUUCAGAAACUCAACCAGGGGUUUUGUUUGUCAGUAUUGUGGGAAGCUCCUCUAUUUCAUUUAAACAAACAGGUGCCCUUUUUGUUCUUCACUUAUGGGAAGUUCACUUAGGUCGCACGGAAAAAAAUUGUUUUUACACGUAAUUAGGGGAAAAUAAAAUAUUUAAAAAAGAUAUUUAAGUUUUGUUA
rnacentral:lncRNA from 1 species